UGGAGGACAACUCGCCCUUGGGGGCUGGCCCUUCGGGAGCCACGCUCCUUCCUGCACUCACAGCCGCGCAGGACAAUAAACCCGCGAGUGGAGAAGACAGACCGCUGCCCGGCAGGGAGGGUCUAGAUGUCUCCCUUCCCAAAGUGAAUCACUACAGCCUGUUCAGAGACCAGUACCUAGAGAAGACGCAGCUGACAGACAUCUAUUCAAAUCCCAGCUCUACCCCUUUCCAGCUUUGUAAUCUGGAUCAAGUAACUAACUUUACUUCUAGUUGUGCCUCAGUUCUCGCUCUAAAAAGAAAUAAUCAUAGUAUCUACAUCAUCAAUUUGUAAUGAGGAUUAUGUAUCUCUAUAUCUACAUAUAUUUUUGAGCACAAACAAAGGCAAAUAAUAAGCACUCAGUAAAUUUAGUUUUUAAGGCAAUUUUUAGGAACUUAUCAUAAGGAAAAUUUUUAAACAUGCAGAUUUAUGUACAAGUAUUGUCCUAUCAGCCAUAUUUUAUAAUACCAAAACUUUGGAAACAAUUUAACUGUCAAGGAAUAAACUAAAAUAAAGUAUGUUCUACCCAAACAUAGUCUA